AGUGGGAUAGCUAGGUCAAAUGGUCGUUCCAAUCCCAGGUUUCCAAGGAUUCUCCAUACUGCUUUCCAGAUUGGCUGCACCAAUUUGCAGUUCCACCAGCAAU
rnacentral:pre_miRNA from 1 species